ensembl:rRNA 5S_rRNA 5S ribosomal RNA
GGCAGCAGCCAUAUCACUCUGCAACUCACAACUGGCAACCCACUGAAGCUAAGCAGGUGUGAGCCUGGUCAGUACCUGGAUAGGAGACCUCCUGGGAAAAACUAAGGUUGCUGCUA